rnacentral:tRNA from 1 species
GGGGGUAUGGCUCAAGGGGUAGAGCACCUGUUUAGCAAGUGUGAGUCCCUGAGUUCAAAUCCCAGCACUACCG